GGCUCACGCCUGUAAUCCCAGCACUUUGGGAGGCCAAGGCCGAAGAGAGAAGACUGCUUGAGACUAGGAAUUUAGAGCAGUCUGGGCAAUAUAGUGAGACCCCAUCUCUACAAAAAUAAAAACAAAAAUAAUUA